UUUGAAGUCCCUCCCACUGGAGAUGGUUGAGCCCGAGCACCUGGCGAACGAGCGCCCCUGUGAAGUGCACGUGAGCUUCGCCUGUGCCGUCCUCCAUGACCAACCUGAUGGUCCAUUAUCAUCUUCAUCAUCAUCAAGUUCCACUGCAGCUGCAUAAAGAGGAAACACACCACAUGGCCUUUGACCCGGCCCACAGUGCGGCUCUGCUGCGUCCACAGGGCCAGGUGCAUGAUGGGAGGCGGUGGUCGGUCCUCCCACCUGCUAGACAACAAGUCCAGGUGAUGCGUGUGCGUGCAGGAGACAACUCGGGGAGUCGGAUGCUUGUUGAUACCUCUCGUCUCGAACCCGCAGCACUGCCACCCAGCUGACUGAUAUCCUCCUGCGGAACGCAGACAGCAACAGCGUGUUGCCUGGCAACAUCCCGGGCGGGUACGCGUUAUGGUUCAAGUUCAGGAAGACAUGGAUGCUCCUUCCACUUUGGUCACACACGGUGAGACGUGCACCUGCACACACACACACACACAUUCGGUGAACUGCUUUCUUUUGUCAAAUGUGUGCUUGUGUGUGUGUCUGUGAGAGAGAGAGAGAGACACACCAACAUUAGAUUGUCCAGUAUCCCUUGUACUGUCAUUCAGAUUGAUCCUGUCGGAGACAAAACCCUGAAAAGACACUACAUCUGCACUGUACACACACACCCACCACACACACACAAACUUUGAUUGAUUGAUUGUCCGAUGACGGUGACAUCACAUGACAAGCACAGCUCACCAGCCAUCCAACACUUGCGACACGGUAGAUGUCGCAGGACAGACGCUCCUUUGGCAGGUGGGUACAAGGAGGGGCCGUGUCAACGUGUGAAACUUCCACCCGGAUUGGAGCAGCAGUGUGGCAUUGCCCGCCAGAACGGUGACGUCCUGAUUGACGGCUGACAGUGAGAGGACGGAUGGCGGGGGAAGAGUCGCGGCGAUGAUGUAGUGGCAUACGUACGUGGGUGCCGGUCGCGACCAGUCUGUAGAAGCGUCCCGGCUGCAGGAGAGGAAACCAGCGAGCAGACGCGCCUGAACACAACACGGCUUUCAUUGGUCGGUUUUUGGGGUCCCGCCCCCAGGCCGCCACGGGCCCAAUCACAGUCGCUGUGACGGAGAAAGACGCCUCCUUAUUCUCCCGCCAUAUCACGCCAUUCUUCUGCUCCACCUGGAGGACCACCGAGAC